UACGGAGGGUGCGAGCGUUGCUCGGAAUUACUGGGCGUAAAGCGUGCGCAGGCGGCACGCCAAGUCGGGUGUGAAAUCCCUGGGCUCAACCCAGGAACUGCACUCGAAACUGGCGCGCUUGAAUGCGGGAGAGGAGAGCGGAAUUCCUGGUGUAGAGGUGAAAUUCGUAGAUAUCAGGAGGAACACCGGUGGCGGAAGCGGCUCUCUGGCCCGACAUUGACGCUCAUGCACGAAAGCGUGGGGAGCAAACAGGAUUAGAAACCCGAGUAGU
rnacentral:rRNA from 1 species